GUCAUUACUUAAAAUUUUGGCAUUUAUUGGUAAUCCUGCAAUUCCGAUCUUGAUGGCAUUGCGUAUAUGGUCUUUAAAGGACAUAUCUUGUUUUAUCUUCAAACUAGUGAAAAUUGAAGGUGAAAAAGCAAAUGUGUGAUCGUUAAGGAAUAGUCUGUUUUUCUCUGGUUACGUGGUUUUUUUAUUGCAAUACCCAGCGGCAAAAAAGGGAAGGAAAGAGUUAAAAGAAUGCCACAAGGUAUAUGUAUACCUGACAACGUCAUUAAAGGUGGGGUAAGAAUAAUAUGACCCUUGUAAUUAUCAAUACCAUAGGCUAGUGGCGUGCAGGAGGGGGACAAAAAUUCUCAUAAAAUGAGGACAAAACAAAACAACCAGCAGUAGUUCAAGUGAUGGAUCCCAGAUAAAGUUCCAUCUCCAAGCAUUAUGAAAUCAAAAUGAGUCAUUGUUUGACUCUUAUCUCACUUCUCACUUCUCUCACAAUUUCAUCAUGCUUCAGAAGCAUAAUGAAAUCAAAUUGAGUCAUUGUUUGACUCUUCUUGAUUUCAUAAUGCUUGGAUGUGGAACUUUAUCUGGGAUCCAUUACUUGAACUACUGCUGGUGUCUUCAGUGAAUCAUGGAAAACUCUUCAGGUGAGAAAGAUUAAAGUUUAUGUGCGUAUAUAUUGUAGAAACCCAGGCACAAGUCGGUGGAUUGAGACGUUAGUAGGAGACUUAGAACAUUAGCAAUAACGUAUGCAAGUGUAGAUUGGUACCGGUAGGUAAAACGGAAAUAACUUCUUAAUUUUUCAUAGAUAAGAUAAUUGAAGUCACCAGCUUGGCCGAGUGGUUAAGUCGCCAGACUUAAGUUUUCGUCUCUUUAUAGAGACGUGAGUGCGAUUCUCACACCUGGUAGCUUUCUUGUCCUUAUCAAAUGUGGUAUUCAUUUAAUAGAGUUGCCUUAAAUCAUAAGAUAAAUAGAAGUUUAUGAUUGAAAUAUGGUACGAGAAAGGUGAGGUUGUAAUCUCCGUAUUCCAUUUGUACACACUGAGAAAGAGAUGACAUGGUCAUGAGCGAGAUGUUACCUUUCUUCAAGCGCAUCUGUGUUUAACAUCUGCAGGAAUUAAAAAAAAAAUAGUCCAUAAACAGCUUAAUUAUGUGUUACACGUCAUUAAACGUCCGCUCGGGAUCGUAUCGACCCCUCUCAACAUGCGCAGCAUUUACCUCUUCAUGAUAAUUGGUUCUGUGUGGCCUGUUUCUAAAUGGAUGGUGCGAAGAGGAAGUUGGCGAAACCGAUCAGAUAAUCAGCGCUUAUCGCGUUCCCAAUAAUAGAAUUUAUCCCCACCUGAGGAACCGAUUACGACAAGAAACAUUUAAGUGCUCUGGUACUUUAGUUGGGCAAAGAAAAGUUUUAACAGCCGCUUUGUACUUUGAACGGUUUGAUUCGAAUACAUUUCAGCCAACCUUUUUCACACCUGUCGCACGGAUGAAGACAGAAAUUCUAGGCGGUCCGUACACAAUAUGGUGGAACGUUAUCCGUGUCGUUAAGCAUAUCCGCAGAACAAUCCAGCAAACGCCGGUAAUUACGACAAUAUUGCCGUUGUUAUACUGGACUUAGAAGUGCUCGCCAGCUCGGUCACUCCCGUCCAGUUGGGGUACACAUUAUUCCCGAGAAUCGGAAUUGAUCAGUUGGUCACCGUCGGCUGGGGCAACUCAGCAACUACGGUAUCGACGACGGAUUCUUAUGACACGAAAGUCUUAUUCACACCUAACGUAUCAACUGUAACUUAACUCAUCAAGGGGUUAACGAAAUGUCUUCUCAUAAUUUGGCUCAAGCGGAUAAACAACGCAUUGAGUUUGAGACAACAGUUUGCCAUCUUCGAAGACAAGCACCUUUGAUUUGUCAUUUAGGGUGCGUUUUAUCGUCAACUUUAUGGCAACAGGUUUCGCCACGAUAAAAAAAAAAUAAUUUUUUUCACCCCCCUUUUUUUUUCUAAUCGCGGCCAUCUAGCGCUCGAUUUUUAACUCGGUUUCCUAAGUCAUUUGAGAAAAUAUUUUAAAAGAGUGUCACGUUGAUCAGUCUCUCCAACUGCAUUCAACUGUUCAUAUUGCUGAGUCUAUCAUAUUGCAAGCCUAUUAAUUGCCUUUUAUUCAGUGUGGCAUUGCAGUCCAAGUGUCCACAUUUGCUGAGCCUAUCCGACAGCAUUCCAGUGUCCACCUUGCUGAACCUAUCCAACAGCAUUCAAGUGUUCACUAAAGCCCUCGAUCGACGUCAACAAGAUCUCAUAAACAAUAUUCAACGAGAAAAUGUAAUUCCAGAACAAGCACACGAAAUUGAUCGACGUCAAGGACAAGUUCUCAUGUGUAUCGUUCUGCAAUGCCACCGUACUCUAGGAAAACAUAACGAAGCAGAGAAACUUUAAGAAGCUAUCACAAAAAUGGUUUCUCAAGAACAUCUAGAUCGAAAAAUCGCUACUUUAGUACUCGAUCACCAUCAAGAAGUUCUCUUAAAAAUGGUUCACUGAGUAAUUUCAGAAACAACUCAAGGAGAAGAUCGACGUCAAGGUCAAGUUCUGACAUGUCUGCUUUCAUAAGACCAUUGUAUUGUAGGGAAAGAUCACGAACAUCGGGAGAACAACUAAGUCGAGAAAACGCUACACAAGUAGUCCCACAACAUGAAGAGAAUAUCAUAAAUACGGCUCACUGAGGAAAUCUAAUUCCAGAAAAAUCUCUUGGAGUAGAUCGACGUCAAGAUCAAGUUCUUAUAUGUCUCUUUCAACCAAUCAAAAUUACUAGAGAAAAAGAUCACGAAGUAGAUCGACGUCAAGGGCAUGUUCCAAUUUCUUUCGUUCUACAAGACCAUCAAAAUCCUCAAUAAUUCCUCCAACUCACGAAAACUUUACAAUUCCCUCUGGCCUAUUCGAUAUAACUCAAUAAAACUUUUCAUCGCAAGAAGAACUUCUAAAAUAUUAGAAAAAAGUUGGUUGUACAAUUGUUUCAGGGAGGGUCUUCAAAACAAUGAUUCCUCUAUCAUCAGAGGUAAUUGAAAUAAUAGAAGAACCUCAAAAUAUGGAGCCUGUUUUGCCAAGUUAUGAUGUUGAACUGCAACAAAAUGCUUUGUAUGACGAUGUGUUUGGAACUGUAAACGGUAAAUAUUCUAUUCGAGAAUGUUUCAUAGAAACUUGUGUUUCUGAAAGAAACCAGACAGCAGGUUGAAACAGCUUUGUCGGAAGAGAAAGUUGAAGAAAUCGAUUCAAGGCAGUUGAAAAUUGUUAUUAAUUUAUUAUUAGAGUGUGUCAAAUCUUUGCGCUGUCUGGUGUACUUAGAAAAUUUGCAAGACGAUGUAACAACACAAUACAAAGUCGAUCGAUGUGAA